UGGACAUUGGAAACGAUGGCUCGGCC
rnacentral:piRNA from 1 species